CUUGGUCAUUUAGAGGAAGUAAAAGUCGUAACAAGGUUUCCGUAGGUGAACCUGCGGAAGGAUCAUUACAAGUGAGGCUACCGAACGUUGGAAACAGCGGUUAGGAGCUUACACCCACCCGUGUUUACAUACUAUUGUUGCUUUGGCGGGCCGUGGCCUCCACUGCGGGCUCUGCUCGUGUGUGCCCGCCAGAGGACCAAACUCUGAAUGUUAGUGAUGUCUGAGUACUAUCUAAUAGUUAAAACUUUCAACAACGGAUCUCUUGGUUCUGGCAUCGAUGAAGAACGCAGCGAAAUGCGAUAAGUAAUGUGAAUUGCAGAUUUUCAGUGAAUCAUCGAAUCUUUGAACGCACCUUGCGCUCCUUGGUAUUCCGAGGAGCAUGCCUGUUUGAGUGUCAUUAAAUUCUCAACUCCAAGGGUUUCACGACCUUUCGGAGAUUGGACUUGGAGGUGCUGGCCGCAUAUUGGUCGGCUCCUCUCAAAUGCAUCAGCGGAAUUCAACCUUUGGCUUCCGGAUGUCAGUGUGAUAAUCAUGUUGCGCUGUCGUUUGAUCCCUCAGAGUCCGCUUAUAAUGGUCUUCGGACAAAAUCAUCAUCAAAUUUGACCUCAAAUCAGGUAGGACUACCCGCUGAACUUAAGCAUAUCAAUAAGCGGAGA
rnacentral:rRNA from 1 species